UAUCAGAAUUCAAAUCAUUAUUACAAUUGGAUCUAUUUACAUGUAAAGAUGAUGAAACAGUUUUAUUAUCAGACAGAAUGGUAUCAUUACAAGACAUAGGCAUGGAAGACAAAACAGUAAGCUUGCUAGAAUCACAAGAAGUAGAAGCAGAACAAACAGAACUUGUUGAAGAGAGAGAAGAUGAAGGAGGAACCCAUGUCAGCUUAUACAAGCCAGCAGUUUGUUUACCAAGAUCCAGUGGCUUCUUCAGAGAAGGGCCCUGUAGCAUGUG
rnacentral:lncRNA from 1 species